UUUCUAUAACGCUAAAUGAUAUAUAUCAUUUCUAAAAAGGUGAGAAGUGUUAAUAUAUCUCGUUUGUGCUUGUUCACCUAAUUGCACGGGAAACGGAGUUUUCAUAGAUGUUUAAAAGUAUUUAUACAUCUAUAAAAAAACCGUUAAUCUAAAAAAAAAUAAAGAUGAUGAUGAUGAUGACGAUGAUGUGUGAUAUUUAUUGAAUUAAAAUGAACUUUUGCCCUUAAUUGGUUUGUUUUUCUGAAAUAGACAUUUAAUACAUUAAAGUAAUUAUGAUAUAAUGUAAGAAUUACAACCGUUAAAAUACGAUACAUAUUUACUACGUAAUAUUAUUUAUUCAUUGAACAAUUAUUAAUUAUAACAUAUAUAAAAUACUCAUGGUUUUUAGUAUUAUUUUUCUAUUUUAUUUGGUGGCUUAUGUAAUAGCUUUUAUUCCAUAUAAUGGUAAGAUUCUGAUUGUAUUAAAGUAAUUCUGUAUCAACUCAGGUUCAACCAUAAAUAAUUAUUUAUUUUUAAUUUUGCACAAAUGAAGCUAAGAAAGAAAUUCUUCUGGAGAAAUUUGAUUCACUAUAUUAACAAUUUUUUUGGACAAAAUGCCAGCUGGGUAAGUAAUCAAAAUUAAUAAUAAAUAAAGUAUAUGAAAACAAUCGUUUUUCUAAGGAAAUUUUUACAUCAUUUUUAGUUCUUAAAAAACUUUUACAUCAUUUUUAGUGAACUUCUUUAAAAAAUUAUAAAAAGUUUUUAAAUCUGUCUUAAAAGGAUGAUUAAACUUACAUUUCUCGUUUAGAGAGGUAAUUUGGGUCACAAUAAAAAUUAAUACAUUAGCCCAUACAAUGCUCACCUGAUUAAAUUGUAAAUAAAACAAACUACAAGUCUUUAGGUGCUGCAGCAAUCGUGAUCUAAUUAUCAAGGAAAUUUUCUUGCAGGUUUGAAGAUUGACAUAAAUGCUGCAACACCUCGAAUCAUGUGGAAUUAAUAAUUUUUUUCUAAUUAGACGUCAACAAUUGCUUCAUUAGAAAUUUUCCAGAGCUCGCUUCGAACCCUAGAUGUCUUGCUUCUAAAGAAAGCGUUCUAACCACUGUGCCACGGCUGCAUUUUUGUAGUGGAUUUGCAGUGAACCUAUUUAGGCUUUUUGAACGGUUCAUUAGAAUAUUGCUGAUCGGUUACUUAUUGGAUCAUUAUUUGCUUCAGCUAUAAGUGGCCAGCCGAUAAAUCUAAUGCACUAAAAAUAUUGAAAAAAGAAAAAAAGAUAAGAAAAUUAAUAAAAAAUAUACAAAUAUUCAUUUCUCCUAAAUAUAUUUGGUCCCACAAAUUUUUUGUGCAAAUGUUUAUUUCUAUAUUUUUAAUUAGAAACUUAAAUUUCAGAUAUGAAAUACUUCAAAUUUAUAAAUAUAUGAUUAAAAAAAAUA